AGCACCGGCUAACUCCGUGCCAGCAGCCGCGGUAAUACGGAGGGUGCAAGCGUUAAUCAGAAUUACUGGGCGUAAAGAGCACGUAGGUGGAUUUUUAAGUUAGAUGUGAAAUCCCUGGGCUCAACCUAGGAACUGCAUUUAAAACUAAUUAUCUAGAGUAUCGUAGAGGGAGGUAGAAUUCCAGGUGUAGCGGUGAAAUGCGUAGAUAUCUGGAGGAAUACCUGUGGCGAAAGCGACCUCCUAGACGAAUACUGACGCUGAGGUGCGAAAGCAUGGGUAGCAAACAGGAUUAGAUACCCUGGUAGUCCAUGCCGUAAACGAUGUCGACUUGGAGGUUGUUUCCUUGAGAAAUGACUUCCGAAGCUAACGCAUUAAGUCGACCGCCUGGGAAGUACGGUCGCAAGGCUAAAACUCAAAUGAAUUGACGGGGGCCCGCACAAGCGGUGGAGCA
rnacentral:rRNA from 7 species